rnacentral:lncRNA from 1 species
UCCCUCCCAGGCUCAAAGAAAUCUAGGAGGCCACUGGCAGCCCCCACAGCCCAGAAAUAGCAGGCCAGCUGGUGGGCGGCUGACCCUGAGGCCCAGGGCCUGAGCUGAGGCCUGUUGCCUGGCAACAGGCAGCAUCCCACACUGUGGGUGGCCAAGGGUUCCGGUGGUGGCCCACGUCACCAGCCCAGCCGAGAUCUGCCUGGGCGCUGCGAGGGCAGGUGGAGAGUCCUUGGAGGCCUGGGAGCAAAGCUCCGUCUGCAGGGGAUUUUCAUGUGGUUGUCCCCGCCCCCAGCCUCCAGCAUCUCCUAGACGUGCCCAGGUUCUUCUGGGUCGUUAUUACUAUCUUUAAUCCUCACGAGAACUCAGCACACAGCCAUCAUCAUUCCCCCUCUGCACAGUUGAAGACAAAGACUCAGAGAGGUUCAGCAACUGUGCCAAGCCCACACAGCUGCUCCACAUCACGCCCGGGAUCGGCUACCGUCAGCUCUUGUCUGGACCAUUGCCGCAGCCUCACUGUCUCCCUGCUCAACUCCAAGUCAUUCUCUGCUCAGCAGAGGAGAGUUCCUAAAACUGCAAACCGAACAGCACAUCACGCCCUGUUUAGAGUCGGAGGACUUCCUAUCCUUGGACUCAAACUCACUCUCAAACUCCUGCCCGCGUCCCCGCAAGCCCCUUGCCCACUUCACUCCCUCUGCAGGAACGAGGAAAUGACCUCCCACAUCUUUGAGUGGUGGGUUCCUUCCUCGUCCUUCUGGCCUCAGCCCCAGCGCCACCUCCUUGGAGAGAUGCUCUCUGACUACCUGGUCUGAAUAAGUCUUGACCCCAGCCUGAGGUCGUCUUGAUCACCCUGUGACAUCACUGUAUUUGUUGGCUGGCUUUUUUCUUUGUCUCCCCUCUCCUCAGCCCUGGUUCAUGAAAGCAGGGACCACAUCCGUCUGGCUCUGUGUCCUAAGAAUCGAGAGCAGGGCUUGGCACAGAGUGGCCACUUAACGAACGCUUGUGAAUAAGUGAGAGGGUCGAAUGAAUAAGUGCACCCAUAGACUCUCACUCCGGACACUCCAGCACAUGCUCAGACCCUCUCCCACACUUGCAAACACUCACACUCAUCCACACCUGGCUCACACCUUCAGACACUCCCAGACGCAUCCUGCCAAGAAUCUCUGCCAUGCUCAGGAGCCUGUAACCAGUGACGCUGCCGCCCCCUCCUGGAAAGAUUGGGGAAGUGCAGCCAGGGUCUGGCCCCGGGAAGUCAAACCAAGCGCGGGAGAGAAGCGGGAAAUGCAUGACUCAGGCGAGUUGCUCCCCGAUUCCCCUUUCUAAGCCAAAUUCAGGGUCAUUGUCACAGGCCUGCAGGGUAGAUGUGUAAUCAAUGUUUGUACCCUCAGAGGUUUGGAAUAGCAUGUGAAAGGCUUCGAAUGCCAGGGUGAAGCCUGGAUUUUGUCCUGUAGUUUACAGGGAGCCAUCGUGAGUUUUUGAGAAAGAGAAGGACAGGAUCAGAACUGUGCUUUGGAAAGAUAAACCAGACCGUGUGCAUUCGUUUGUUUAUUUGUUCAUUCAUUCAUUCCUCUAACAGUCUCAGAAUCCGGCAGUGAGCAAACAGAGGUGCCAUUGGCCUUCAUGGAGCAUGGUCUGGGGUAGCAUGUACAGCAGUGGAGGUUCGGACACAGAGGGGGCGUCACUCCUCUCCUAGGCAUGCCAAUAGCAUCCAGAUUGGUCCUAAACUUAAGGAAGACUGAGCCAAGGCCAGCAGAACUUUUUCCAUCUAUAAACGUGACAUCAGGUAAUAGGGUCAUCUGAUUCAAAAUUCAGGAGUACCGAAAGACGGUGGCAUAACAUUCACACCUUGCUUGUUUCCCUUCCCAUCCUGGAGAGCCUUUGUAUCAGCACUGCAUUUCCCGUCUGACUUCUGCAAACAGAGCAGGUGGUAAAGGCAGGAGAACUGGCAGUAAAAGAUGGGUCCUCUGCAUGAGACUCUUCCUUAUGUGGC